GAUGAACGCUGGCGGCGUGCCUAAUACAUGCAAGUCGAGCGAACGGACGAGAAGCUUGCUUCUCUGAUGUUAGCGGCGGACGGGUGAGUAACACGUGGAUAACCUACCUAUAAGACUGGGAUAACUUCGGGAAACCGGAGCUAAUACCGGAUAAUAUUUUGAACCGCAUGGUUCAAAAGUGAAAGACGGUCUUGCUGUCACUUAUAGAUGGAUCCGCGCUGCAUUAGCUAGUUGGUAAGGUAACGGCUUACCAAGGCAACGAUGCAUAGCCGACCUGAGAGGGUGAUCGGCCACACUGGAACUGAGACACGGUCCAGACUCCUACGGGAGGCAGCAGUAGGGAAUCUUCAGCAAUGGGCGAAAGCCUGACGGAGCAACGCCGAGUGAGUGAUGAAGGUCUUCGGAUCGUAAAACUCUGUUAUUAGGGAAGAACAUAUGUGUAAGUAACUGUGCACAUCUUGACGGUAACUAAUCAGAAAGCCACGGCUAACUACGUG
rnacentral:rRNA from 1 species